CCUUCCCGCCCCUGGCGCGCGGCCUAUUUAAUGGGCUUCUCGCGCGCAGCCGUCCUUUCCGCGCGCCCUGCGGCCCUCGGGAGGGGUGAGUGGCCGCACUGCGCCGCGCCCGGGGCCAUGGCGUGUGUGGCGGGGCGCCUCAGGCCGGCGGAGCUCCUGGCAAGGCGAGGGGCUUACCGAGCGGCCCCGGCAGCGUUUGGCGGCGGGGGCUGGCCCGGGGGCGGCGGGGCUUGCCGCCGUACGGUGACACCGGAGCUUGUGAGCUGUUCCGGCAGCGCCCCAGCCUCCGGUGCCGGACCGGUAGCCUGGGCCGCUGGGUCUAGUCGCGCCGUGCGGCCCCUCUGGCAGCGGCAGGCCGGCGGCCCGCUUCCCGCAGGGCGGCAGGAGCGCCCCGACCGCCUCGGCUGCAGCCGGCUGCCGCCGCCUCCCUGAGCAGCUCGUCGGCCCCAGCACACGCUCGUCCGAACAGUCGAGCAGCAAGUGGAGUUCAGAGAUGAGUUUGUUACUGGCUUUGAGAAUCUUCUGUCUGGACCCUGCCCUGCUGUUACCUUGUGAGCAGAAAGAUGUCACGUGAAUCCUGGAGCUAUUGAAGUAGUUAUUUCUUUUUGUGCUACACCACCAGGUGAUCUGCUCUGCUGUUCUGGAGCCGCAGGUGUGCACAUGCAGCUGACAGCAGAGCCCAGCCACAUCUGGGAGGGUGGCUGUUGGAGAAACUUGAAAACAGGAGCCUGACAUGUGGAGUUCUGCUGCCCUUGGAAAUGCAGCGAUGGCCUUUCUUGCUCCUCAGAAAUCCCGCUUGAUUCAAUAGUACGGCAGAGGAGUUGCUCUGGGGAAAAUGUGUGAAUAAUCCUUGAAUGGAUUUUGGGUGAGAGCAUCCCUCGAGAAAGGGAAGUGGCCUUGUGCAAACUCUUGGAACUUAGAGUUAUGUAACAAAUGGAUGAAAAUUGAAUAAAUCAUGCGUUAAGACAU